GACGAACGCUGGCGGCGUGCUUAACACAUGCAAGUCGAACGGAAAGGCCCUGCUUUUGUGGGGUGCUCGAGUGGCGAACGGGUGAGUAACACGUGAGUAACCUGCCCUCGACUUUGGGAUAACUUCAGGAAACUGGGGCUAAUACCGGAUAGGAGCUCCUGCUGCAUGGUGGGGGCUGGAAAGUUUCGGCGGUUGGGGAUGGACUCGCGGCUUAUCAGCUUGUUGGUGGGGUAGUGGCUUACCAAGGCUUUGACGGGUGGCCGGCCUGAGAGGGUGACCGGCCACAUUGGGACGGAGAUACGGCCCAGACCCCUACGGGAGGCAGCAGAGGGGAAUGUUGCACAAUGGGAGGAAGCCUGAUGCAGCAGCGCCGCGUGCGGGAUGACAGCCUUCGGGUUGUAAUCCGCUUUCGCCUGUGACGAAGAGUGAGUGACGGUAAUGGGUAAAGAAGCACCGGCUAACUACGUG
rnacentral:rRNA from 1 species